UUUGUCGCGCAGCACUGAAAGGAACUUUAUCCCUUUGGUAGACUGGUAGACUCGGGUGUAGGUGGCUUUAAAUCAUUAAUUUACCGAGAUGUUUUUAAUAAAUUAAAGAAACGUGCAUCACAACUAUUAGGAUUAUUGCCAACAAGACAAGAUGGAUAGAUAGAUGUUGAGGAACGGUCCCAAAAUGUGCGCACACGUUAAAGCCUGCCCCUUCUCCCCGUGUCAUCGAUGGCCAUCCGGCGUACACAGUGAGGUGCCUCCUGAGUGUUCAACCACAGGGCAGGGGUUUCAAGUACCUGGUUGACUGGGAGGGUAAUGGCCCAGAGGAGAGGUGCUGGGUCCCUGCUAGAGACAUCCUGGACCCAGCCCUCAUCGCCAACUACCACCGCCGGUACGCCGGUCAACCAGCUCCUGCUUUUCCCAGCCUCUCCUUUUCUUGCCCUCCUGGUUUUGACCCCUGCCAGUCCUGACUCUGAGCCUGCCUGCCUGACCACUCUGCCUGCCCCUGAGCCUGCUUUCUGACCUGUACCUUUGUCCCACCUCUGGAUUAUUGACCUCCACCUACCCUGACCCUGAGCCUGCCUGCCAUCCGGUACCCCACCUCUGGUUUACUUAGCCCUGCCUGCCUUGACCUAUCUAUUGCCUGCCCCUGUUGGAUUAUUAAACCAUUUUUAAUUGUAUGUUUUCUGCAUCUGGGUCUUACCUUCGUACCCAAUAGGUGUUUCACGUUGAACACAGAGGAUAUGUUUGAAGAAUUCUGCAUGCAGUCUCAAUUUGGGUGUGCAGGGGGAAUACGUGGUCUUUCUUACAGUAAUUUGGUAAAAAUCCAAUUUUACAUUUGCUCAGUACAUUGCUUUCACUGAGGAAAUGUACAAGUCUGCUGUAAAUGAUAAAGCAGAGGAUUUUCCCAAGGUUGCUGUUGAUGCAUAUCCCACGGUAGUUAUUGGGGUCAAAUUUGUCUCCACUUUUGUCGAUUGAGGUGACCAGUCCAUGGUUCCAAAUAUUGGGGAAGAUGCCAGAGCUAAGGAUGAUGUUAAAGAGUUUAAGUAUAGCCAAUUGAAAUUUGUGGUCUGUAUAUUUUAUAAUUUCAUUUAGGAUACUAUCAACACCACAGGCCUUUUUGGGUUGGAGGGUUUGUAUUUUGUCCUGUAGUUCAUGUAAUACAAGAAUCGAGUGUGUUCUGGUAGUCUUUAAUAGUUUCUAAGAUUCUAAGAUUGUCACGCCCUGACCUUAGAGCUUUUUACGUCUCUAUUUUGGUUUGGCCAGGGUGUGAUUUGGGUGGGCAUUCUAUGUUCCUUUUUCUAUGUUUUUGCAUUUCUUUGUUUAGGCCGGGUAUGGUUCUCAAUCAGGGACAGCUGUCUAUCGUUGUCUCUGAUUGGGAACCAUACUUAGGUAGCUUUUUCCCACAGGGUUUUUGUGGGUAGUUAAUUUCUGUUUAGUGUUUUGCACCUUUUAGGACUGUUUCGGUUAUUCCCUUUGUUAUAGUGUUCAGUUUUAAUAAAGAAAGCAU